UACACUGAAACCAAGUUUACACCCGUGAAAUGGCAGCUGAUAAUGGACAACUGGAUUCACCAAUUCACUCUACUUUGAAAAGACGGCGGAACAUCAUGCGGUCAUUUAUGAAGCGGUCCUGGUAUAUAAUUUCCAGUCGCGAAGUAGACAGGCAAUGAGCACAUUCUUGAGAGAGACCUACAUCUUCGGGAAAA